UACGUAGGGCGCAAGCGUUAUCCGGAAUUAUUGGGCGUAAAGAGCUCGUAGGCGGUUUGUCGCGUCUGCCGUGAAAGUCCGGGCUCAACUCCGGAUCUGCGGUGGUACGGCAGACUAGAGUGAUGUAGGGAGACUGGAAUUCUGGUGUAGCGUGAAAUGCGCAGAUAUCAGAGGAACACCGAUGGCGAAGGCAGGUCUCUGGGCUGACACUGACGCUCAUGCACGAAAGCGUGGGGAGCAAACAGGAUUAGAACCCAGUA
rnacentral:rRNA from 1 species